UAAACCCCGCCUGUUUACCAAAAACAUCACCUCUAGCAUUACCAGUAUUAGAGGCACUGCCUGCCCAGUGACAUUAGUUUAACGGCCGCGGUAUCCUGACCGUGCAAAGGUAGCAUAAUCAUUUGUUCCUUAAUUAGGGACUUGUAUGAAUGGCUUCACGAGGGUUUAACUGUCUCUUACUUUUAAUCAGUGAAAUUGACCUUCCCGUGAAGAGGCGGGAAUAAAAAAAUAAGACGAGAAGACCCUAUGGAGCUUAAAUUAAAUUAUCUAAUAAAUUAAAACUUAAUCCAAUAGGCAUAACAACAUAUUUAACUAGAUAACAAAUUUUGGUUGGGGUGACCUCGGAGUAUAACCUAACCUCCGAGCUAUAUAAACUAAGACUUACCUGUCAAAGUGAAAUAAUUUAUUGAUCCAAUCUUAUUGAUCAACGGAAUAAGUUACCCUAGGGAUAACAGCGCAAUCCUAUUUAAGAGUUCAUAUCGACAAUAGGGUUUACGACCUCGAUGUUGGAUCAGGACACCCAAAUGGUGCAGCAGCUAUUAAAGGUUCGUUUGUUCAACGAUUAAAGUCC
rnacentral:rRNA from 1 species